AUGUUCCUAAGUUUUAUCAACUUUGAAGGCUUCCUAAGCACUCUAGGACAUCAAACACACAUUCCUUACAUAAUAUAACCCCUGGCCGCACCUCCUUGCUCUUUCCUCUUCCUUACCGUGCAAGGGAGAGGGUACUUUCCUGCUUCUAUGCAUUAAAACACAUUCCUAAUGUGUUUUAAUACCUUGCCGCAUAUUCCUUGCCUUUUCCUUUAAUUUUCUGAUUUUGUUUCCUAUUUCUAGAAGCCUUAGACUUAAUUUUUGAUUACCUAAAUAACCUAGGGUUUUAAUUCCUGAAAUCCUUUAAAUAAACUAUCUUUUGCAGCCACAAAUCAUCCAUACACUGACCAUUCACGCAGGAACACCAUUCUAGCGCCCAGAAAAUACAAGCAGCCGCUCCACCUUCUUCCACCCUCUUUGCCGAGUUCUCCACCACCUUCCAACCAUCAAACACUCUUCCACACUCACCCUACACCCCUUGCCGUGCCUCUACACCCCCCAAAAUCCAAUCUACAUCAUCAAAACAGCCCAGAAACCAUCAACACCCAAUCUGCCGCAAGCAAGGAAAAGGGACAGAUUCACUCAAUUGUUGGGCUCUUCAUUCUGAGUUGUUGAACAAUUUUAGGUGUAUUCUAUCUUAUAUUUCAAUGUCUAAUUCAUGUAAUCUUUGUUUUGCUUUAAGUAUGAUUGGCUAAAUUCGUUUUGGAUAAGGGUGUAUUCAAAACCAUGAUUAUAUAUGUGAAAUAAGUUGAUUACUUCUAGUUAUCGUUGCAUAAGUCGUGAAUACAAUUUGCUUAACCGUUU
rnacentral:lncRNA from 1 species